AAAAUUCCAAAACAAAACCAUCUCUUCUCCAAAAACUCUUUCCCUUAAACUUCAUGGAAGAAGAAUACGGAAGUUGGAGUUAGGGUUCAAAAAUAAAGAUUUUAUAAUCAAAUUCAUUGGAUUUCAUUGCUAAGGUAUGGUAUCUCUUCCUCUGUGGAUAGAAUUUAUCCAUGAAGCCCCUUUAAAAUCUCAAUUUCAAUGAUAGAAUUCCCUAAUAAUUAGGGUUUGAUUCAAAACUCAUGGAUUCCUUUAUAGAUCAUUUAUAAUUAUGGAUUUAUGUUAUAUUAUGUAUAAAUUUAUUAUAUUAUAUGGUAUUAUAUUGAAUUCACCAAGAAUCCAUGAAUUCCUCAUAUUUCCAAAUUAUGAUUUUGCAAUGCGAGUUUGUUGAUGAUAGAAAUAUAUUAUGAGAUUAUGCAUGUAGUAAAUUGAUUACUUGAAUUAUGAUUAUAUUGAUUUAUAAUGUAGCAAUUAUAUAUGUGUUGAUGAAAUAUGAUCUUGAAUCCUUUAAGUAUAAAGCAUGAGAAUUUUGCAUGAUUAUCAGAAUUUAUGUAUAUGCUCUAUGAACACUUUGAGAGUAAAAUGAUUAUGAUUAUGAUCUUUUUGUGUGUUGUUGAAAGGAUAUUCUCAUUCACACACGUAUGUAUGAUUAAGUUAUGAUGUGAAAUGUUUUCUCACAAUAUCAUGAUGCUAGGGUCGAAAGGCUUUCUCACCUAUAGAAUCUAUACGAAGACAUGGACGGUGAAAGGCUAUUCUCAAGCAUGAUCUACGAGCUAUCUAAUGUAUUAUGUUGGAUUGAGUGUUAAUAAAUUCUUCCAUGAUUAUGAUCUUAAUUCAAGACAUAAUGUGAACUCUGUGGGAAUAAACGCUUAGCACGAAAUGCAUAUUUUAUAUGAGAUGAGAGCUUUUACUCUACUUGAGUCCGGUUUCCCAAUGGGUUCCUCAUACGCUAGUUGAUUUCGGUUUCCAAAGAAUGUUUCAUGAGAUGAGUAGCUUGCAUCAUAGUUGAUUCCGGAUUAAAAUUGAAAUUUCCUUAUCUCAUAAACUAGUGGAUCCACCUAAGCUAAGAAUAUGAUUCUACCAUAGGCAAGUAAGAUAACUCUUUUCGGUGUAGGGUAGAUACUUGAUUCUAUGUAUAGCUCACAUGGUAUAUGUCGUUUGAGGAUUAUUUUUUCACAAUAAC
rnacentral:lncRNA from 1 species